rnacentral:rRNA from 1 species
GUCGGGGCACCGAAGUGCCUGUUAACCAGGCCCUAAGGUAGAACUCGGUAAUUGGGACG